rnacentral:rRNA from 1 species
UACGGAGGAUGCGAGCGUUAUUCGGAAUCAUUGGGUUUAAAGGGUCUGUAGGCGGGCUAUUAAGUCAGGGGUGAAAUCUUACAGCUUAACUGUGAAAUUGCCUUUGAUACUGGUAGUCUUGAAUAUUUGUGAAGUUUUUGGAAUGUGUAGUGUAGCGGUGAAAUGCUUAGAUAUUACACAGAACACCGAUUGCGAAGGCAGGAGACUAACAAAUAAUUGACGCUGAGAGACGAGAGCGUGGGGAGCGAACAGG